rnacentral:lncRNA from 1 species
UGUGACGUACCUCCUCUGAAGACUAUCAACACCUAGUUCUUUUUGUAGGAUCCACCCAGCUUCUUUCUUUCAUUGUCACUUUCCGGUGCUUUCCAGUGGCCUCCGCCUGCCGCUGCCUUUUCCCCACCCCUCCCCGCCCCGGGGAUUCUGGCCCCUUCCACUCAGUCUCAGGGGUCCAACCACACUGCUCCAGCUGUCAGGCUGUCCUGGAAGGAUGCUGCACCCUAAUAUCUGAUAGAAUUCUGGUCUUUGUUCCUAAGACAGAAACUCAGAGCAGAGCAACAAGAAGAAUGACUGCUUCUUUGGUAAAUACACCCCAGUGUUUGUUAACAUUCAGGGAUGUGGCUGUGGAGUUCUCAGUGGAAGAGUGGGAAUGUCUGAACUGUUCUCAGAGGGCACUGUAUACAGAUGUGAUGAUGGAGAGUUACAGUAAUCUAUUCCUUUUGGAGAAUUUUCUUAAAUGUGAGGAGGUGUUGGAUCAAGGCACAAAGCAUAUUGCCCACAAGCAUGAACAAAGGCCAAAACUCGUUUUGACAUUCCACAUCAAGAUACUAAAACUACAAAGCUAAACAUCAUUGAACUAUGUUAGGGACAUUGUCAAACCAUAUAAAGAGAACUGAAACCUAAAAUGAUAUGAAAUUGUCUUAUCAACAUUCCUAUAAACAUGAAAGCAUGAGAAGAUAACUAUGAACAUUGUCAUUAUACCAAAAAUUUGGAACUUAAAAUUCAUGGAGCAUGAAGUUCACUUGAAGAAAGUUAUGAAAUAACAAGGGUCAUGCUUAAAAUUCAUGGAGCAUAAGUUCACUUGAAGAAUGUUAUGAAAUAACAAGGGUCAUGUAUUCAAGUAGCAUUCCAGAUUAUAAUUAGAAGCAAAUAGUAUCUCAAAACAAACAAACAAACAAACAAAACCAGAGCAAGUCUAUCAAUGAGAACACGGGAAGUACAACAUUUUACAUUAAAAAAUAGAUGAAUAAAGGAGAGUUGAGUGGUAGCAUACCAUGUGCAACACUCCAAAACAGGAAAACACUAUUUCAAUCUGGAGGAGGAAAAACAAUACUACUGGUAGUUAACCAUCCAGAUCAUUAAUUUAAACAAAACACAGAACAACAACAACAACAAGAGUGUUACAUGAUAUGGAAAUCACACAACUAAUGGAAAUAUCAUAAGAUAAAGUUCAACAAGGUUUUGUGCUAAACUCCUAAAGGGAGCAGGAAAAAAAGGAAUAUGACUUAAGAGAGUAAAGGGUAUAUAUGCCACACCAAGACCAACAGUCCUGUGCAUAGAAAAAAAAGAACAGCAUCAGAAGGAACACUGAAAGGAGAAGAUGCUUGUACUCUCCUGUCUUACUGAGCCCACUAGCAUAAGUGUGGACUAGAGAAAUCUGAAUAAGACAAAGGAUGAAAAGAAGAAAAAAGUAGAAAAGCAAGAUUUCAAUCUCUUUUAAAGAUGAUGUAGUCAUACACAAAACACCAUAGAGAUACCAUGGAAAAAAGUCCUAGACCUUAUAAGUACUUUAAAUACUACUGAAAAACACAAAAUACUGUAAUCAAGGGUUUUAUCAAAAUUUUAAAAAAUACAGUGCAAAUGAUCAAGAAGCCAAUGGACUGAACUCAAAAGCAGUUAAAACAGCCAACUAUUCAUACUACAUGUUCCACAUGGUUAGUCAUAAACAAAAUGCUCAUCCAAUGUAUACUGAGAUCUCUUCUCUUCCUAGUCAGUGUCCACACUCAAGGUUCUAAACAAUAACAAACACUGGAGACAAUGCAAUGGAAGAACAGAGACAGCAUCAGUGGAAUCCAACUCACUUUAAACACCAGUCAAGAAAGUGUGCAGCUUCCUGAACAACCAAAUACAGUAAAGAGAACACCUAGGGAAAAUUGUGAUGAUGUUCAUAAAAAAAUUAAAUAUACUGCAAAAUAACUAUGAAAUAGAAACUCACUAAGAGAAAAAG